UUUAACCGGUCAACGAGCCUGUGAACUUCGGAAGUGGGACUAUCGUCGCCAAUAGACGCAGAAGUCCUCCACCCUUCCCCUUCCCAACCGAUGGCUGGCACCGCCGGGCUGCGAUGGUCCAGACGGGCACCGACUGGGACUGCCGAGGCGCUGACGGGGCGCACGGUCGCGGGAGGUGGUUCGCUCUCCACGACGGCGUGCUCUCCUCCACCGCCUCUCCCGCCCCUCGACUCGUCCUCUCGUCGGACUGCGUCCAUAUCGUUGCCGAGAUCGUGUGUCCGCCAGAUAAAAUUGGAUUGUGUCCAUAUCGUUGCCGAGCUCGUGGACACCUACCAGCGGCAAGUACGCCCACCGUGUUGAGGGGUCAGACGACGGGGUCGUCGGACGGGGGCCGGAGGGAGAACUGCAGGUGGACGGAGGGGGCCGUUUUCCCGCGGCUAGAGGUGCAGCCGGCGCGGCUGGGCGGAGGAGCUUGCCGGAGCGGCGGCGCGGGGCGGAGGAUCCCGCCGGAGCUCGCUCCCCUCACAGCCUCACUUCCCUCGGCGGCGGCGGCCGGCGGGAGAGCCGUCCGAGAACCCGCGAAAUUUUCCCCUGAGGCGCUCGUGGUAGCUGCUGACUCAACCUGACUCCGCCAUGCGCUGCCAGCCGUGCGAUUGGAACGUACGCCCCCGCCGCCUCUCCGGUCCUUGGACCUCCUCCUCGUCGUUCGACUCCAACGGCAACCAUCUACUCCGCAAGCCCCUCGGUGAAAUCUCCUACAGAAGACAAGGGGAGAGAGUCGGAGAACAUCAGAGACCUCCAAAAUUACAAAGUUUUUUCUCAGCUUCCCUAUAUAUCUUCCCCUGGAAUUUUUACCACUCCCUCCGUCCAACAAAAGAUGUAUCAAGUUUGUCAAAAUUUGGAUGUAUAUCUAGACAUGACUUAGUGUAUAGAUGCAUUCAAAUUUAGUUAAAGUUCAGACAUCCUUCGUUGGACGGAAGGAAUAUUUCAAACUUAUACAUGCACACCGUUUCAGUUUACAAUCCGGUCAUCAUUUGUGCAAGCCAUGCCGGUGAAAAUAUAUAUAUUUGCUUGCCAUUGACAGUUUUAGGCUUUCAGUAGUAGUCACUAGCUAUGAUGGUUUGCAUGAUGCAUCGUCAUUCUUAUUCUGGUUUUUAUUUUAUUUUUAAUGUAAUAUGGCCAAACUUUGUGAUCAUUUAUGGUGUUUUUAUUCUCAGUAUACCAUUUCUUUCUCCAUGUACUCCCUUCGGCGCCUCCUUGUCUUAGGCCAGCUAGUUGCAGUUGCCAGAUAAGUUUCAGCAAAAGUUUUGCAUUCUUUGUACUGAAUGGUAUCAGUUUUAUCAUGUCCGUGAUUUGGAUUUAAUUUUGAUCCCUUCACACAUAAAUACUCCAGCUUUGUCUUAUGAGAUCUGUGGCAGAUGAUUUAGUUCUUUCGGUUAAUGAUUAAGAGGAGCUAAUGUAGUUGUUUUUAUCCUGUGUUCUGAGAUGUGUGGAUUUGAAGAAUGCGGCACUUGCAUACUCCUCUGGUAUUCAGAUCAUUAAGCAAUAACACGUGAAUUUCAGAUCAUUUCCGUGGUUAACCGUUUACGUAUUUAUGGUCAUAACAUGCUAUACCGAGUAUUGUUUUCUGCAACUGUAUCAUUUUGUCAAAUACUGAAGUGUUAGCAGAUAAAAUUGCAACUUUUUAGUUGUGUUUGGGCACAACGCACGUGUCAGUUUUCCUUAUGCAGUUUGCAUUUAUAUGCCAAUGUUUUGAGACAUUGUUCACUGCCCUGCAGCAUAUAUAUACCGACAUGGCGACAUGAACUUCUUAAUCUCCCAAAUCUCCUGCAUAUCAUUCUUAUAGUUGCAGUAAAUACUAGUAUAACUACUGCAUAUUGAUUUCCCUACUGACUAAGGAACUGAUUCAUGGUUUCCGUUUUCAGUAAGAUACGCAAACCACGCAAUAUACAAAUUAAAUUGGUUACUUGGGCCCACUUGGAGUCUCAUAAGCAAGCUCACUGUGAUCGCUUCCAUUUUGUUCUCAACAAAAGAUGCCUCCACAGGUCUUCAGAUCACCGGUCCCCAGAUCCCAGGCAGAUCCGCACCUCUUACUCCACCUCUCGCCGCUAUCGGCCCCAGACGACGACGCAUGUGGCCAGCCACGCCGAGAAGCACUUCCUCCGCCAGACCAACCUGGCAAGAAGAAGUGCCACGCCACCCUCGUCGACGACACGACGAGGAGGUGAAGAUGACAGGCAGGCAGGCAAAAAGAACCACCCAUGAUAAGAAAGGGCCAGCAACACGAGGUCUAUAUAUACAUCUUGUGGCUUCUCUUAUUUUUCUCAUGGUGUCUUCUCUCCCAAAACACGAUGAGUGGAAACACAUCAGUUUUAUUCAUGCUCAUGGAUUCGUCAUCGUCUUCAUCUGAUGAUGACGAACUCAUAGCUGCAGCAAUUGCAGAGCGUGAGGAGGAAGAGGAGAAUGUUCCACGCCCCGGUGGUUCCAAGCAUGGACGUCGGACAAUUAAUCGAGGAAGAGAUGCCGGAUUUGUUGUAUUGUGGAAUGACUACUUUGCAGCAAAUCCCGUCUACCCAGAAAGCUUUUUUCGGCGAAGGUAUAGAAUGUCCCGUAAUUUAUUUAAUCGCAUAGCUCUAGCUAUACUUGAGCAUGAGCAUGAACAUCAGGACAAGGAGCAUAGAUAUUUUAAGCAAAAAAGAAAUGCUGCUGGAGCCCUUGGGUUGCAUCCUUUGCAGAAGAUGACCGCGGCAAUGCGGAUGCUAACUUAUGGAAUAGCAGCUGAUGGUGCGGAUAAGUACAUCCGGUCUCCAGAAACUACUAAUCUGGCGGCUUGCAAGAAGUUUGUAAUAGCUAUUGUGAGGUCUUUGGGGAGCAGUACCUGAGAUCUCCAAAUGAAGAACAACUGAGUACGUUUCUCUAUAUGCAUCAACGGAUCGAGAAUAGAGCAUUUCACUCACAGCUUCAGGAUGAUCUAGUUGAGCACCUCCGGCAAAAGUUUGGAGACAAACGAUCUAUGUAGUAAUUUUAACUUUGUAGUCCAUUUCCUUUCAUUGUAAUAAUAUGGUAGUCAGAUCCUAUCAUGUACUAUCUGUAGUCAAUUUCCUAUCAUGUAUUCAAUUUGUAGUCAAUUUCUUAUCAUGUACUAUGGCAUAAUGCAAUGUUUUUCAAUAUCAAAUGGUUCAGAAGACA